UACGUAGGGGGCAAGCGUUGUCCGGAUUUAUUGGGCGUAAAGAGCGUGUAGGCGGCCAGAUAGGUCCGUUGUGAAAACUGGAGGCUUAACCUCCAGCGGUCGAUGGAAACCAUCUGGCUAGAGUCCGGAAGAGGAGAGUGGAAUUCCUGGUGUAGCGGUGAAAUACGUAGAGAUUGGGAAGAACACCAGUGGCGAAGGCGGCUAUCUGGACGGUUUCUGACGCUAAGACGCGAAAGCGUGGGGAGCAAACAGG
rnacentral:rRNA from 1 species